AACUAACAAGGAUUCCCCUAGUAACGGCGAGUGAAGCGGGAUGAGCUCAAAUUUGUAAUCUGGUGGACUCAGUUCAUCCGAAUUGUAAUCUAUAGAAAAGUUUUCCGCGCUGGACCGUGUCUAAGUCCCUUGGAACAGGGUGUCAGAGAGGGUGAGAAUCCCGUGCUUGAUACGACCACCAGUGCUAUGUGAUACUUUUUCAACGAGUCGAGUUGUUUGGGAAUGCAGCUCAAAAUGGGUGGUAAAUUCCAUCUAAAGCUAAAUAUUGGCGAGAGACCGAUAGCGAACAAGUACCGUGAGGGAAAGAUGAAAAGCACUUUGGAAAGAGAGUUAAACAGUACGUGAAAUUGUUAAAAGGGAAACGAUUGAAGUCAGUCGUGCUCUCUAGGACUCAGCCAGUUCUUCUGGUGUAUUUCCUAGUGAGCGGGUCAACAUCAGUUUAGAUCGCUGGAUAAGGUCAUUAGGAAUGUGGCUCCCUCGGGAGUGUUAUAGCCUAGUGUCGCAUACAGUGGUUUAGACUGAGGAACGCAGCUCGCCUUUAUGGCCGGGGUUCGCCCACGUCCGAGCUUAGGAUGUUGACAUAAUGGCUUAAA
rnacentral:rRNA from 2 species